rnacentral:rRNA from 1 species
UACGUAGGGGGCAAGCGUUGUCCGGAUUUAUUGGGCGUAAAGCGCGUGUAGGCGGCCACGCAGGUCCGCUGUGAAAACUCGAGGCUCAACCUCGAGCUGUCGGUGGAAACCGCGUGGCUAGAGUACGGCAGAGGGGGAUGGAAUUCCGCGUGUAGCAGUGAAAUGCGCAGAUAUCAGGAGGAACACCGGUGGCGAAGGCGGGUCUCUGGGCCGAUACUGACGCUGAGGAGCGAAAGCGUGGGGAGCGAACAGG